GACGAACGCUGGCGGCGUGCUUAACACAUGCAAGUCGAGCGGUAAGGCCCUUUCGGGGGUACACGAGCGGCGAACGGGUGAGUAACACGUGGGUGACCUGCCCUCAGCUCUGGGAUAAGCCUGGGAAGCCGGGUCUAAUACUGGAUAUGACUCCAUGACGCAUGUUGUGGGGUGGAAAGCCUUGUGCGGCUGAGGAUGGGCCCGCGGCCUAUCAGCUUGUUGGUGGGGUGAUGGCCUACCAAGGCGACGACGGGUAGCCGGCCUGAGAGGGCGACCGGCCACACUGGGACUGAGACACGGCCCAGACUCCUACGGGAGGCAGCAGUGGGGAAUAUUGGACAAUGGGCGCAAGCCUGAUCCAGCGAUGCCGCGUGUGUGAAGAAGGCCUGCGGGUUGUAAAGCACUUUCAGUAGGGAAGAAAAGCCGAGUGCUAAUAUCACUCGGUCUUGACGUUACUUACAGAAGAAGCACCGGCUAACUCCGUGCCAGCAGCCGCC
rnacentral:rRNA from 1 species